AUUUGAUGGUGAGGGAAGCUAGCACAUAAUUUCUUAAACAACUCCCAAUACUCAUACAAUGACUCCCCAGUUUGUUGGCGAAUGCCACAAAUUUCCUUCCUUAUACU